rnacentral:rRNA from 1 species
UACGUAGGUGGCAAGCGUUGUCCGGAUUUACUGGGCGUAAAGAGCUCGUAGGCGGUCUGUCGCGUCUGCUGUGAAAACUCGGGGCUUAACCCCGGGCCUGCAGUGGGUACGGGCAGACUAGAGUGCGGUAGGGGAGACUGGAAUUCCUGGUGUAGCGGUGAAAUGCGCAGAUAUCAGGAGGAACACCGGUGGCGAAGGCGGGUCUCUGGGCUGUAACUGGCGCUGAGGAGCGAAAGCGUGGGGAGCGAACAGG